CUGAUCUACAGUUGAGCCAAAACCAACAUCCUUUUGCUCCUUGUUGCUUUCAAUGGGAUGAAGCUAGAACCGGGGCCUCCUCUGAAGGACGAUGGGCUCCUCUGAAGAAUGAGCCUGCUCUGAAGGGUGAACUGGAGGAAAGGAGGAAGGCCCAACAUAGCAAACCACCUACUCCCUUCUCUGUCUCACGGCAGAAGAGCUUUUCCCCAUGGCCACCACCACCAGCAGCCCAUAAGGAGUUCUGCCGGAUGCCUGCGACUCACCCUUCAGGGCAGUGGGCUC
rnacentral:lncRNA from 10 species